AUCACAUUGAAUUGAAUAUAGGCCAAUUUGCAUAAAAAAUCCACAAAUUUUGAGCUUUUGCAAAACUGGACCACCUUUUUUUUAUUUUGCAGAUUCAGUUCAAAUUUUCAGCAAACUGAUCAAAAUACUCUUAUUAUUUUUUUCUCUCUCCUCUUUUUUUUCUCUCGUUUAUUUUUUUCUCUCUCUCCGAAGAAGGCAGCGAAGGCAGAGAAGAUGGCGGAAACGGCCCGCUUCGCCUCUCACCCUCAUGCCCUCGCCCUCACCCUCGCCCGCGCACCCACCGCCUUCCUCGCCUCCGACCCCACUGAGACCGCGCUGCGACUUUUUUUUUUACCCCCUCUUCGACCUCCUCCACCAUCUCUGAUGACAGCGCCUCUUUCGCCCUUCCCUGCCUUUUCACCCUCAUGCCCUCGCCCUCGCCUGCACACCUCCCGCAUUCCUCACCUCCGACCCCGUUGAGACCGUGCCGCGACUUUUUUUGUCCCUCUCCGACCCUCCUCCACCAUCUCCAACGAUGGCGCCUCUUGCCCUUCUCGCCCUCUCCCUACUCCUCCGCCUCUACCUCCGCCUCCUCCGCUUUCUCCAACGACGAUGUUUCUCCGCUAAUGCCGAUGUCACGGAGGUCGCUGCGGCGCCGCAGCCUCGGAGUGGGGGGUCCUUAGUGGCAUCGUCGCUAGGGCAUUGGCCGUUGGCGGAGAACCGUGACUAAAAAAAAAUUAUAGAAAAAGGAAGAAGAAGAUGAAAUUGCAAUGUUAAAAUAAAUUUACAUUGUUUUAAAUUUUUUUUGCACUGUUUUAAAUAAAAGUUUCACUCUUUGAGACAGAAAUUACACUCUUUAGGAUCGGAUUUAUAUUUUUUAGGACAAAGUUACACUAUUUAGGUGAAAUUUACACCAUUUCUCUUUUCCUUCUUCUUUCUCCAAUUUACACCAUUUUUUUUCUUUUCCUCUUCUUCCUCCUCGCUUUUUAGUUUAUAGUAAACUUUAAGAUAUU
rnacentral:lncRNA from 1 species